AAGAGAGUGCAAGAGAACGUGAAACCGGUGUAAUGGAAGCGAAUGGAGCCGACGUAUCUAUGUGCGUAUUCAGCGGAGUCGUUUCGAUGGCCAGUGUCGGGUUUUUAAGGUCUUCUGCAAAGUGGCCGCCCGCGCUUCCGGUUGUCGGCGGUCUUUGUGCAUUUGCGUACGGAGUGCGUCGAGUGGCGUGGUUGCGGCGGACGAACCGCGCUUAGAGGUGGUGUUCUUCGCGGAACGCAAAACCUGAGCGUUUCGGCGAGUCCGACUUGCGGCUACGUUGCGCGUUUUUUUGAGGACGGUGGUUGGGUUCGCGUGUCGGGCGUUGUGCUUGAUUCCGCUGGCCUUCGUGCACAUGUGUACGUGGCUUGUUUUCGGGGUUAGGCGCGCGUUCGACGUGCUCUCUUCCGUUCGUCUCGACGUCCAGUCGGUGACCCAUUCGACCCGUCUUGAAACACGGACCAAGGAGUUUAUGGUAUACGCGAGUUAUUGGGUCUUUUCGAAGCCCAUAAGCGAAAUGAAAGUGAGACGCCUUACGGUGUUUGAGUACGAGCGGUAAUGUUCGGCCCGGAAACGGGCGGGCACGCCGUGCAGUAUUGCCCCGUUUUGAGGAUUCGUUCCUGUUGCGGAGGUUGAGCGUAUGCUAUGAGACCCGAAAGAUGGUGAACUAUGCCUGAACAGGAUGAAGCCAGAGGAAACUCUGGUGGAGGUCCGAAGCGGUUCUGACGUGCAAAUCGAUCGUCUGAUUUUGGUAUAGGGGCGCAAGACUAAUCGAACCAUC
rnacentral:rRNA from 1 species